GACAGAGGGUGCAAACGUUGUUCGGAAUUACUGGGCGUAAAGCGCGCGUAGGCGGCAGCGUGUGUCGGGCGUGAAAUCCCACGGCUCAACCGUGGAAGUGCACUCGAAACUGCGCAGCUGGAGUCUCGGAGAGGAAGGCGGAAUGCUUGGUUUAGAGGUGAAAUUCGUAGAUAUCAAGCGGAACACCGGUGGCGAAGGCGGCCUUCUGGACGAUGACUGACGCUGAAGCGCGAAAGCGUGGGGAGCAAACAGG
rnacentral:rRNA from 1 species